rnacentral:rRNA from 1 species
AGAACGAACGCUGGCGGCAUGCCUAACACAUGCAAGUCGAACGAGACCUUCGGGUCUAGUGGCGCACGGGUGCGUAACGCGUGGGAAUCUGCCCUUGGGUUCGGGAUAACAGUUGGAAACGACUGCUAAUACCGGAUGAUGUCUUCGGACCAAAGAUUUAUCGCCCAAGGAUGAGCCCGCGUAGGAUUAGCUUGUUGGUGAGGUAAGAGCUCACCAAGGCGACGAUCCUUAGCUGGUCUGAGAGGAUGAUCAGCCACACUGGGACUGAGACACGGCCCAGACUCCUACGGGAGCGAGCGAGUGGGAAUAGUUGGACAAGUGGGACGUAAAGGCCUAGACUCCAGACAAUGCCGCGUGAGUGAUGAAGGCCGUUAGGGUU